AAGUCGUAACAAGGUUUCCGUAGGUGAACCUGCGGAAGGAUCAUUAACACGUCCCAUUUAUUCUUGUAUCCUUUCGUGAACUUUAGAUGAUUAUUUGAAUUGAAUUAGUAUUCUGAGAAAAGAUGUAAUAGAGAGGAUAUCAGAUCCCAGGAUAUACUCUGGGUAAAUGAUAAACUGCUAUUAUAACACCUUCUUAAGAAGAACAUUCAAGUGUAAAAUUAUAUGAUCAUUGUAUUUUUUUACAUAAAAUAAUUCAUCGACCAUUGUUAUUACCAAUAAACCUUAUCACUUGUAAUUUUCGACCCUUGAUUCGAUCAUGAAACAAGUGUGUCUUAAAUACAUUGUUAUUUAUCAUUUCUCAUUUCAUUUGAAAAAAUGAAGAAAUUAACUCUGUACAACUCUUAGCAACGGAUGUCUUGGUUCCC
rnacentral:misc_RNA from 1 species